rnacentral:rRNA from 1 species
UACGUAGGAGGCGAGCGUUGCUCGGAAUUACUGGGCGUAAAGGGAGUGCAGGCGGCCGGUUGAGUCGAAGAUGAAAUCCCGAGGCUCAACUUCGGAACGGUCUUCGAUACUGACCGGCUUGAGGCUGGCUGAGGAGAGCGGAAUUCCCGGUGGAGCGGUGAAAUGCGUAGAUAUCGGGAGGAACACCAGAGGCGAAGGCGGCUCUCUAAACUAGUCCUGACGCUGAGACUCGAAAGCUAGGGGAGCAAACGGG